AAAAGAAGGAAAGGGAAAGGAAGAGAAAAGGGAUUUAUAGAAAAAGGGAAUAGGGUGAAGAAGAAGGGAGAUUAGCAAGAGAUUUCAACUCUGAUUUAGAGGCUACCCAAAUCAGACAUCCUCCAGAUCGUGUUGGAUAGUGUUUCGUUGGGUUGUGCCACGGUGUAGCAUAUUUAGUGUUGGAUAUAGACUUUUUGUUGUUUUUUUUUUUUAUAAGCUUGUGAAAUGUUGAAAGGCCGGAGGCCUAAUUACAAUAUUCUCAUGACUUUUGAAAUGAGUAAAGAUGUAAAUUAUUUUGUCAUGUAUAUGAUAAGGCCGGAGGCCUGAUUACAGGUUUAUUUUAUGAUUUCUUGGCUUUAA